AACGAACGCUGGCGGCAUGCCUAACACAUGCAAGUCGAGCGGGGUGAUGGUGCUUGCACUAUCACUUAGCGGCGGACGGGUGAGUAAUGCUUAGGAAUCUGCCUAUUAGUGGGGGACAACAUCUCGAAAGGGAUGCUAAUACCGCAUACGUCCUACGGGAGAAAGCAGGGGAUCACUUGUGACCUUGCGCUAAUAGAUGAGCCUAAGUCGGAUUAGCUAGUUGGUGGGGUAAAGGCCUACCAAGGCGACGAUCUGUAGCGGGUCUGAGAGGAUGCUCCGCCACACUGGGACUGAGACACGGCCCAGACUCCUACGGGAGGCAGCAGUGGGGAAUAUUGGACAAGGGGGGGAACCAUGAGCCAGUCAUGCCGCGUGUGUGAAGAAGGCCUUAUGGUUGUAAAGCACUUUAAGCGAGGAGGAGGCUCUUUUGGUUAAUACCCAAGAUGAGUGGACGUUACUCGCAGAAUAAGCACCGGCUAACUCUGUGCCAGCCGCCGCGGUAA
rnacentral:rRNA from 1 species